AAGGAUUUAAGUUAAAUAUAAACUAAUAGCCUUCAAAGCUAUAAACAGAGGAAAGCUUUAAGCCUUA
rnacentral:tRNA from 1 species